rnacentral:rRNA from 1 species
UACGAAGGUGGCAAGCGUUACUCGGAAUUACUAGGCGUAAAGGGCAGGUAGGCGGUUUGAUGAGUCUGUUGUGAAAGCUCCCGGCUUAACUGGGAGAGGUCAACAGAUACUGUCGAACUUGAGUAUGGGAGAGGGUACUGGAAUUCCUGGUGUAGCGGUGAAAUGCGCAGAGAUCAGGAGGAACACCGAUGGCGAAAGCAAGUACCUGGACCAUUACUGACGCUCAGCUGUGAAAGCUAGGGGAGCAAACAGG